rnacentral:rRNA from 1 species
UACGGGGGGUGCAAGCGUUGUUCGGAAUCAUUGGGCGUAAAGGGCGUGCAGGCGGCCAGAUAAGUCAGAUGUGAAAUCCCUGGGCUUAACCCAGGAAGUGCAUUUGAAACUGUUUGGCUUGAGUAAGGGAGAGGAAAGUGGAAUUCCUGGUGUAGAGGUGAAAUUCGUAGAUAUCAGGAGGAACACCCGUGGCGAAGGCGACUUUCUGGCCCUAUACUGACGCUGAGACGCGAAAGCGUGGGUAG